AUCAAAGUCUCUGUACAGGGUCUUGCUCUGUCACCAGGCUGGAGUGCAAUGGCGCGAUGUCGGCUCACUGCAACCUCCGCGUCCUGGGUUCAAGGGAUUCUCCUGCCUCAGCCUCCUGAGUAGCUGGGACUACAGAUUCCAAAUUCCCUU